rnacentral:rRNA from 1 species
UACGUAGGGUGCAAGCGUUAAUCGGAAUUACUGGGCGUAAAGCGUGCGCAGGCGGUUAUGCAAGACAGAGGUGAAAUCCCCGGGCUCAACCUGGGAACUGCCUUUGUGACUGCAUGACUAGAGUACGGUAGAGGGGGAUGGAAUUCCGCGUGUAGCAGUGAAAUGCGUAGAUAUGCGGAGGAACACCGAUGGCGAAGGCAGCCCCCUGGGCUGAGAUUGACGCUCAGGCACGAAAGCGUGGGGAGCAAACAGG